GGAGGAAUACCCAAGCGGUUGAAGGGGGCAGUUUCGAAAACUGCUAGGAGGCGCAAGUCUCGCAUGGGUUCGAAUCCCAUUUCUUCCGCCA
rnacentral:tRNA from 1 species